rnacentral:lncRNA from 1 species
CUGACAAUCCAACUGGAUUUCAGCUUUUUCUCCAAUAGAAAGAAUUGUGACUUGUUUACAGAUUGUCCAGUUUCCUCGAAACCUAUCUAUCUAACACAAUCUCUUUCCUAUUGCUUAACCACGUCUAGCAUACAAUUAAGAUCGAACAUACAAUCAUACGAUGCAAGAUUUAUUCAGAUUUAUACACACAGCGGAAUUAUACUGCGGCAUACAAGAUUAACAAUUAAAAGUAAAAGGAUAAGGGAUAGAAUGCACCAAGUUUUAUCCUGGUUCAGUUGUCAACGACAACCUACAUCCAGUCCUCACAAUCCAACUGGAUUUCAGCUUUUUUCUCCAAUAAAAGAAUUGUGACUUGUUUACAGAUUGUCCAGUUUCCUCGAAACCUAUCUAUCUAACACAAUCUCUUUCCUAUUGCUUAACCCCUUGAUCCUUGCAGUCACUCGACAGACUCACACAAAAUCAAGUCAAGCUCCUUCUUGAUGAGGCCUCUCACCCAAGAAGAUCGCCACCAGUUUCUAGCUGGAUUUUUCGCAGUCGUUUCUUUACAAAG